AACGAACGCUGGCGGCAUGCCUAACACAUGCAAGUCGAACGAGACCUUCGGGUCUAGUGGCGCACGGGUGCGUAACGCGUGGGAACCUGCCCUUAGGUUCGGAAUAACUCCCCGAAAGGGGUGCUAAUACCGGAUAAUGUCUUCGGACCAAAGAUUUAUCGCCUUUGGAUGGGCCCGCGUUGGAUUAGCUAGUUGGUAGGGUAAAAGCCUACCAAGGCGACGAUCCAUAGCUGGUCUGAGAGGAUGAUCAGCCACACUGGGACUGAGACACGGCCUAGACUCCUACGGGAGGCAGCAGUGGGGGAUAUUGGACAAUGGGCGAAAGCCUGAUCCAGCAAUGCCGCGUGAGUGAUGAAGGCCUUAGGGUUGUAAAGCUCUUUUACCCGGGAUGAUAAUGACAGUACCGGGAGAAUAAGCUCCGGCUAACUCCGUG
rnacentral:rRNA from 1 species